ACGGGAGGCAGCAGUGGGGAAUAUUGGGCAAUGGGCGCAAGCCUGACCCAGCGACGCCGCGUGAGUGAAGAAGUAUUUCGGUAUGUAAAGCUCUAUCAGCAGGGAAGAUAAUGACGGUACCUGACUAAGAAGCCCCGGCUAACUACGUGCCAGCAGCCGCGGUAAUACGUAGGGGGCAAGCGUUAUCCGGAUUUACUGGGUGUAAAGGGAGCGUAGGCGGCGCAGCAAGUCAGAUGUGAAACCCCGGGGCUUAACCUCGGGACUGCAUUUGAAACUGCAGUGCUAGAGUGCGGGAGAGGUAAGCGGAAUUCCUAGUGUAGCGGUGAAAUGCGUAGAUAUUAGGAAGAACACCAGUGGCGAAGGCGGCUUACUGGACCGUAACUGACGCUGAGGCUCGAAAGCGUGGGGAGCAAACAGGAUUAGAUACCCUGGUA
rnacentral:rRNA from 1 species